UGUGAGCAUCUUGCCUGUUCGUGG
rnacentral:piRNA from 1 species